UCUGUGUCCGGAGCAAUGUUCUGAUUUGGCCGCUUCCGUAUAUGAGCGGCAAAAUCAGAAUAUCGCUCCUGUCAAAGAAUUUGAAUGGAUGAGUUUAUCUAGAAAGACAUUGUCAUGUUUUUUGUUUUUGUUUUUAUCAACACAAAGCCGAGUUUAGGUACAUAAAUGCAAUUGAAAAUUCAACUGAUUGGCAAAUUUUAUAUAGUUUUAUGAGAGAAAAAAACAGAACAUACCAAGGGGGUAACACUGCUGUAGUGGAACAUUUUGAAUGUCACAGAGAGACAAACAACUCCACUGCCAAAAGAACAAUGACGACAAAAAAAGAAAAACAGAAAAACAGAGUCAGUCCACAAAACACUACACAGAAAUUUUAGAUUGAGCGCGAAUACUAGCCCUACUUUAACAUUGAUCUCAGAAAAUGUAAAAGCUAUGUCCUUCAACCUCGGCCUUCAGUGCAGAAAAUUAACAGGUGUCUUAUAUUCCGUCCGCAUUUGGUUGAAACUGAAAAUUCACUUGAAUGUGUGAUAAAAAUUGAACAUGACAUUUUUUUCUUUCUUUAAAUUCAAAUUUCGACGGUUUAGCGAACAUGUUUUCUUCUGAUGAACUUUUGUGCAUCACGGUUGGUAGAUUCUUAUACCAUUACACUAGGAACAUGUAUAGCAUUACACUAUAUACAAUUUAAUAGCAUAACACUAGGAACGACCUUGAGGUAAAUGCACUAGAUACGCUGGUCGAUCUUUAUACUAUAUAAAGAAAUUAUUGGUGUGUCAGUUAAUCGGAGGUGCACAGUAACUACGACAGCUUUUUAUAAAUAGUUUAUUUAGACUCUGUAAGGGAUCGCAGCAUUGUAAGCCCUGUCAACCAUUGAGGGCAGGUAUGGACAGACACUAUAUACAGACUGUGUACAUGAUCACUAUAUUGUAUGUUAAAACCACUGAGGGUAGGUAUGGACAGAUACCCUAUAUAGACUGUGUAUAGGGGUACUACUGAGGGUAGGUAUGGACAGAUACCCUAUAUAGACUGUGUAUAGGGGUACUACUGAGGGUAGGUAUGGACAGAUACCCUAUAUAGACUGUGUAUAGGGGUACUACUGAGGGUAGGUAUGGACAGAUACCCUAUAUAGACUGUGUAUAGGGGUACUACUGAGGGUAGGUAUGGACAUAUACCCUAUAUAGACUGUGUAUAGGGUACUACUGAGGGUAGGUAUGGACAUAUACCCUAUAUAGACUGUGUAUAGGGGUACUACUGAGAAUAGGUAUGGACAGAUACUAUAGUAUAGGCUGUGUACACCAGAAUUAAAGAUGUUCGCUUCUCUGUUUCAAAAUAUCUGUCCCUUUUUUUUGAGAUACUAAUCAAUUAAAAAAUUGGAUGAAUGAUUCUCUCCAGUUUUUUCCUACAUUUAACAUUGGCUCCUUUUUUCUCUGAAAAAAGCUAUGAAAAAAUAACAAGGACUUUCAAAAAUGGCUUUUUAAACUAUUUGUAAUCAAACUAUGAAAAGAAAAUUAAGGGAUAGCGGGCAAAAUUUGCAUUGACAUUACAUGGAUAAAACGGUAAUAUCUGAAAAAAAGUCAAAAACAAAAACAAAAUUUAGUACAAAUUAUAAACAGAUUGUAAAGGGUUCAGUAGAACCAAGUGUCCUGGACACAACUGCUGCUGUCAGUGCAAAAGUUUAGUGUUGACUGCCAAACACCUGAUUCCCUUUAUCACUAAGAAAUACAUGUAGUAAACAAAUAAGAACAGUCUAAAUUUUGCUCAGUGUACUGUAAAUUCAGAAAUUAUUGCGUGCAUUUAUUAUUGCGAUUAUUCAAGAAUGGACAAAAAUUCGAGUUUAAUCACUGCGAUUUCUGCGAUUUCUACAGUGUUCUGGAAGUUUCCGUGACAACUAUAUAUACAGACACCAAAGUUAGACUUUUAGAUCAGACAUUAAUAUACUUGUAUUUUCAGAAGUUCUCGGGAGUUGUUAGAUUGACACUUUUAUUUACGUUAACUACAUCAUACAUAACUUUUUGGACAUAUUCCGUUACAGUUAAGAGAAGAAUUCCGGAUAUAGAAAAGACAAAGAAUCGAACAUAUAUUUUAACAUUUAAGUUGACAUUUCUAUUUGUGUAAUAUUUCUUGUAAAGUUGUAUAAUAAAUCUUUAAAAUUUAA